rnacentral:rRNA from 1 species
GGGUUGUGAGGUUAAGCGACUAAGCGUACACGGUGGAUGCCCUGGCAGUCAGAGGCGAUGAAGGACGUGCUAAUCUGCGAUAAGCGUCGGUAAGGUGAUAUGAACCGUUAUAACCGGCGAUUUCCGAAUGGGGAAACCCAGUGUGAUUCGUCACACUAUCAUUAACUGAAUCCAUAGGUUAAUGAGGCGAACCGGGGGAACUGAAACAUCUAAGUACCCCGAGGAAAAGAAAUCAACCGAGAUUCCCCCAGUAGCGGCGAGCGAACGGGGAGCAGCCCAGAGCCUGAAUCAGUGUGUGUGUUAGUGGAAGCGUCUGGAAAGGCGUGCGAUACAGGGUGACAGCCCCGUACACAAAAAUGCACAUGCUGUGAGCUCGAUGAGUAGGGCGGGACACGUGGUAUCCUGUCUGAAUAUGGGGGGACCAUCCUCCAAGGCUAAAUACUCCUGACUGACCGAUAGUGAACCAGUACCGUGAGGGAAAGGCGAAAAGAACCCCGGCGAGGGGAGUGAAAAAGAACCUGAAACCGUGUACGUACAAGCAGUGGGAGCCUCUUUAUGGGGUGACUGCGUACCUUUUGUAUAAUGGGUCAGCGACUUAUAUUCUGUAGCAAGGUUAACCGAAUAGGGGAGCCGAAGGGAAACCGAGUCUUAACUGGGCGUUAAGUUGCAGGGUAUAGACCCGAAACCCGGUGAUCUAGCCAUGGGCAGGUUGAAGGUUGGGUAACACUAACUGGAGGACCGAACCGACUAAUGUUGAAAAAUUAGCGGAUGACUUGUGGCUGGGGGUGAAAGGCCAAUCAAACCGGGAGAUAGCUGGUUCUCCCCGAAAGCUAUUUAGGUAGCGCCUCGUGAAUUCAUCUCCGGGGGUAGAGCACUGUUUCGGCAAGGGGGUCAUCCCGACUUACCAACCCGAUGCAAACUGCGAAUACCGGAGAAUGUUAUCACGGGAGACACACGGCGGGUGCUAACGUCCGUCGUGAAGAGGGAAACAACCCAGACCGCCAGCUAAGGUCCCAAAGUCAUGGUUAAGUGGGAAACGAUGUGGGAAGGCCCAGACAGCCAGGAUGUUGGCUUAGAAGCAGCCAUCAUUUAAAGAAAGCGUAAUAGCUCACUGGUCGAGUCGGCCUGCGCGGAAGAUGUAACGGGGCUAAACCAUGCACCGAAGCUGCGGCAGCGACACUAUGUGUUGUUGGGUAGGGGAGCGUUCUGUAAGCCUGUGAAGGUGUGCUGUGAGGCAUGCUGGAGGUAUCAGAAGUGCGAAUGCUGACAUAAGUAACGAUAAAGCGGGUGAAAAGCCCGCUCGCCGGAAGACCAAGGGUUCCUGUCCAACGUUAAUCGGGGCAGGGUGAGUCGACCCCUAAGGCGAGGCCGAAAGGCGUAGUCGAUGGGAAACAGGUUAAUAUUCCUGUACUUGGUGUUACUGCGAAGGGGGGACGGAGAAGGCUAUGUUGGCCGGGCGACGGUUGUCCCGGUUUAAGCGUGUAGGCUGGUUUUCCAGGCAAAUCCGGAAAAUCAAGGCUGAGGCGUGAUGACGAGGCACUACGGUGCUGAAGCAACAAAUGCCCUGCUUCCAGGAAAAGCCUCUAAGCAUCAGGUAACAUCAAAUCGUACCCCAAACCGACACAGGUGGUCAGGUAGAGAAUACCAAGGCGCUUGAGAGAACUCGGGUGAAGGAACUAGGCAAAAUGGUGCCGUAACUUCGGGAGAAGGCACGCUGAUACGUAGGUGAAGUCCCUCGCGGAUGGAGCUGAAAUCAGUCGAAGAUACCAGCUGGCUGCAACUGUUUAUUAAAAACACAGCACUGUGCAAACACGAAAGUGGACGUAUACGGUGUGACGCCUGCCCGGUGCCGGAAGGUUAAUUGAUGGGGUUAGCGGCAACGCGAAGCUCUUGAUCGAAGCCCCGGUAAACGGCGGCCGUAACUAUAACGGUCCUAAGGUAGCGAAAUUCCUUGUCGGGUAAGUUCCGACCUGCACGAAUGGCGUAAUGAUGGCCAGGCUGUCUCCACCCGAGACUCAGUGAAAUUGAACUCGCUGUGAAGAUGCAGUGUACCCGCGGCAAGACGGAAAGACCCCGUGAACCUUUACUAUAGCUUGACACUGAACAUUGAGCCUUGAUGUGUAGGAUAGGUGGGAGGCUUUGAAGUGUGGACGCCAGUCUGCAUGGAGCCGACCUUGAAAUACCACCCUUUAAUGUUUGAUGUUCUAACGUAGACCCGUGAUCCGGGUUGCGGACAGUGUCUGGUGGGUAGUUUGACUGGGGCGGUCUCCUCCUAAAGAGUAACGGAGGAGCACGAAGGUUGGCUAAUCCUGGUCGGACAUCAGGAGGUUAGUGCAAUGGCAUAAGCCAGCUUGACUGCGAGCGUGACGGCGCGAGCAGGUGCGAAAGCAGGUCAUAGUGAUCCGGUGGUUCUGAAUGGAAGGGCCAUCGCUCAACGGAUAAAAGGUACUCCGGGGAUAACAGGCUGAUACCGCCCAAGAGUUCAUAUCGACGGCGGUGUUUGGCACCUCGAUGUCGGCUCAUCACAUCCUGGGGCUGAAGUAGGUCCCAAGGGUAUGGCUGUUCGCCAUUUAAAGUGGUACGCGAGCUGGGUUUAGAACGUCGUGAGACAGUUCGGUCCCUAUCUGCCGUGGGCGCUGGAGAACUGAGGGGGGCUGCUCCUAGUACGAGAGGACCGGAGUGGACGCAUCACUGGUGUUCGGGUUGUCAUGCCAAUGGCACUGCCCGGUAGCUAAAUGCGGAAGAGAUAAGUGCUGAAAGCAUCUAAGCACGAAACUUGCCCCGAGAUGAGUUCUCCCUGAGACUUUAAGUCUCCUGAAGGAACGUUGAAGACGACGACGUUGAUAGGCCGGGUGUGUAAGCGCAGCGAUGCGUUGAGCUAACCGGUACUAAUGAACCGUGAGGCUUAACCUUACAACGCCGAAG